rnacentral:tRNA from 1 species
GGAGAGGUGGGUGAGUGGCUGAAACCAGCGGUUUGCUAAACCGCCGUAGGGCUAAUAACCCUACCGCCGGUUCGAAUCCGGCCCUCUCCGCCA